rnacentral:rRNA from 1 species
CUAGCGACGAUCCCUAGCUGGUCUGAGAGGAUGACCAGCCACACUGGAACUGAGACACGGUCCAGACUCCUACGGUAGGCAGCAGUGGAGAAUAUUGCACAAUGGGCGCAAGCCUGAUGCAGCCAUGCCGCGUGUGUGAAGAAGGCCUUCGGGUUGUAAAGCACUUUCAGCGAGGAGUAAGAGUAAUGUGUUAAUAAGACAUUGCAUUGACGUUACUCGCAGAAGAAGCACCGGCUAACUCCGUGCCAGCAGCCGCAGUAAUACGGAGGGUGCAAGCGUUAAAGCGCACGCAGGCGGUUUGUUAAGUCAGAUGUGAAAUCCCCGCGCUCAACGUGGGAACGGCAUUUGAGACUGGCAAGCUAGAGUCUUGUAGAGGGGGGUAGAAUUCCAGGUGUAGCGGUGAAAUGCGUAGAGAUCUGGAGGAAUACCGGUGGCGAAGGCGGCCCCCUGGACAAAGACUGACGCUCAGGUGCGAAAGCGUGGGGGAGCAAACAGGAUUAGAUACCCUGGUAGUCCACGCUGUAAACGAUGUCGAUUUGGAGGUUGCGCCCUUGAGGGGUGGCUUUCGUAGCUAACGCAUUAAAUCGACCGCCUGGGGAGUACGGCCGCAAGGUUAAAACUCAAAUGAAUUGACGGGGGCCGCACAAGCGGUGGAGCAUGUGGUUUAAUUCGAUGCAACGCGAAGAACCUUACCUACUCUUGACAUCCAGAGAACUUUCCAGAGAUGGAGAAGUGCCUUCGGGAGCUCUGAGACAGGUGCUGCAUGGCUGUCGUCAGCUCGUGUUGUGAAAUGUUGGGUUAAGUCCCGCAACGAGCGCAACCCUUAUCCUUUGUUGCCAGCGAUAAAGUCGGGAACUCAAAGGAGACUGCCGGUGAUAAACCGGAGGAAGGUGGGGAUGACGUCAAGUCAUCAUGGCCCUUACGAGUAGGGCUACACACGUGCUACAAUGGCGUAUACAAAGAGAAGCGACCUCGCGAGAGCAAGCGGAUCUCACAAAGUACGUCGUAGUCCGGAUUGGAGUCUGCAACUCGACUCCAUGAAGUCGGAAUCGCUAGUAAUCGCAGAUCAGAAUGCUGCAGUGAAUACGUUCCCGGGCCUUGUACACACCGCCCGUCAUACCAUGGGAGUGGGUUGCAAAAGAAGUAGGUAGCUUAACCUUCG